UAAACGUUUAAAUUUUCAUGUCAUUACAUUCGGGGCGAAGUAAGCAUUCUUUAUUUAGAAUAUACGAUAAUUUUGAUUCAAACGGAAUUAGGAGGUAAACUUACCAAAAAAACACUAGUAAUGAUGGUUGGUUUGAUGUGUAAUGUGUUUAUGUUAUGUUGUAUAGUUAUUAUGGCAACCCAUGGUCAAUCAAUUCAAAAACACAAGGAGCUAGAAAUUGCAAAAGCAUGUAUUGGACAAGACGGAUUAUUAUUUUGCGAUAUAAGUGGUGACCCAUUGCCUGAUUAUGAAUGGUUUAAAAAUGGCGUCAAAAUAGAACAUGGCGGUCGUUUUAAUAUCAGACGAAGUCGUUUUGGAUCAUCCAGGGUAAUGAUUAGAAAUUUGCAAGAUUGUGAUAGUGGAGUCUACGAAUGUAAGGCUUCGAAUUCGGCAGGGACAGAAUCAACUAGUGGCAGGCUCAGUUUCGCAUCAGAUUGCUGAUCUGGUGACGUUGAAGAAAAACAGAUUGAUAAAGAAAAUAAAGUAUUGUUAAAACUGCA